CCGUUAAAAAGGAGACAGCAGUCACGGAGUUGUGUUGUGAUAUGUUUUAAUAAAAAAUGUUGUAARCUGGUUGUUUUGAAGGACUUUCAGGUGACGGACAUGGAGCUUCUCGUUUAGUUGAGCUGCAGAGCCUUUACGGGAUAGAAGGACCUGUUUAUUCUCAAUAAAAGAGAUUAAAAUGAAACCGAAACUCUCCCAGAAACACACAGGACCCACCUGGACAGG